GCCUGGGUGGCUCAGUUGGUUGGGCAUCUGACUUCGGCUCAGGUCUUGAUCUCACAGUCCGUGAGUUCGAGCCCCAUGUCGGGCU
rnacentral:tRNA from 1 species